rnacentral:rRNA from 1 species
UGAGGAAUAUUGCGCAAUGGGGGCAACCCUGACGCAGCGACGCCGCGUGAGUGAGGAAGGCCUUCGGGUCGUAAAGCUCUGUCAAAGGGAAAGAAGUGUGCAAUGGCUAAUACCUGUUGCAUUUGACGGUACCCUUAAAGGAAGCACCGGCUAACUCCGUGCCAGCAGCCGCGGUGAUACGGAGGGUGCAAGCGUUAUUCGGAAUUAUUGGGCGUAAAGCGCGCGUAGGCGGUCGUGCAAGUCGGAUGUGAAAGCCCUCGGCUCAACCGAGGAACUGCGUCCGAUACUGCUCGACUUGAGUCCGGUAGGGGAUGGCAGAAUGCCCGGUGUAGCGGUGGAAUGCGUAGAUAUCGGGAGGAAUACCGAUGGCGAAGGCGGCCAUCUGGGCCGGAACUGACGCUGAGGCGCGAAAGCGUGGGGAGCAAACA